AUAAGCGGCGGAAACGCCGUCUAAUACCGCGUGACAACCCGAGGGGGCAUCCCCUUGGGUUCAAAGGAGAGAUCCGGUACCGGCUGGGCAUGCGGCGCAUUAGCUAGUUGGCGGGGCAACGGCCCACCAAGGCGACGAUGCGUAGGGGUUCUGAGAGGAAGGUCCCCCACACUGGAACUGAGACACGGUCCAGACUCCUACGGGAGACAGCAGUGAGGAAUAUUGGUCAAUGGGCGCAAGCCUGAACCAGCCAAGUCGCGUGAGGGAAGACGGCCCUACGGGUUGUAAACCUCUUUUGCCGGGGAGCAAGCCUGAGCACGUGUGCCCAGGCGGAGAGUACCCGGAGAAAAAGCAUCGGCUAACUCCGUGCCAGCAGCCGCGGUAAUACGGAGGAUGCGAGCGUUAUCCGGAUUUAUUGGGUUUAAAGGGUGCGCAGGCGGGCUGUUAAGCCGGCGGUAAAAAUUCAGGGCUCAACCCUGUCGAGCCGUCGGAACUGGCAGUCUUGAGUGGGCGAGAAGUAUGCGGAAUGCGUGGUGUAGCGGUGAAAUGCAUAGAUAUCACGCAGAACGCCGAUUGCGAAGGCAGCAUACCGGCGCCCAACUGACGCUGAGGCACGGAAGCGUGGGGAUCGAACAGGAUUAGAUACCCUGGUAGUCCACGCAGUAAACGAUGAGCGCUAACUGUCCGGAGCGAGCGAGCUCUGGGUG
rnacentral:rRNA from 1 species